ACUUCGCACUGUCGUUUCUCGUUUCAAAUUUUAAGCCCCCACUCACGAACUCUGUCAAUGUCAAGUCAAACCCUUUCUCUUUGUCAAAAUGAAGAAUAUUUUUUCAUUAAAUUCUAAAAUCUACUUAAGGCAAUGUCUGGCCUCAUAGCCACAUUUUCAAACAGACGUUCUUAAUUGGGUUUUCUGGACAUAUUGCAAAAACUGAUCAACCCUUCACCUCGUGGGAGACUCCCCGAAACUGGAGCCCCUAAUGUCGCCGGCGAUACAUCAAUGCAGCAGUAACUAGACUCCUAACAACCAUCCAACACCUGUAGGCCUGGUGGCCAGAACAUCCACGUCGCCAGAGCCCGUUGCAGAACAACAGCAAGACACCAAGAACCCGCAGACAGAUACCAAGUGCCAUCGAUAAGUAUAAUCUCUGAUCUGUAAAGUUUCGGCAAGGUCUUGUAAAUUAUUUUUUUUGAUACUUUAAUUAUGUCUUUUAUGAAAAAUAAACAUGAUUAGUUAAA
rnacentral:lncRNA from 1 species